CUAACUGCGUGCCAGAAGCGUCGGUAAGACGUGGGCCCCGAGCGUUAUCCGGUGUUACUGGGCGUAAAGAGUCGUGUAGGCGGUUCGAAAAGUUACCUUUUAAAUCCCAAUGCUCAACAUUGGAACUGGAGGUAAUACUCUCGAACUAGAGUUUUCUACAGGGUGAAUGGAACUGUGGGAGGAGUAGUGAAAUGCGUUGAUCCCCACGGGAACACCAGUGGCGAAGGCGGUUCACUGGUAGAAGACUGACGCUGAGACACGAAAGCUAGGGUAUCGAAGCAGAUUAGAGACCUGCGUAGUCCUAGCCGUAAACGCAUGCUUGCUAGCUGCAUUUCCGCCCCUUCGGGGGUUAGGUGUGGCGAAGGUAACCCGUUAAGCAAGCCGCCUGGGGAUUACGGUCGCAAGACUAAAACUCAAAGGAAUUGGCGGGGAGGCACACAACCAGUGGAACAUGUGGUUUAAUUCGAAACAAACCGAAGAACCUCACCUGGGUUUGACGUGUAGCUGCUCAUCCUAUGAAAGUAGGACUCCUUCGAGGGUGCUACACAGGUGCUGCAUGGCUGUCGUCAGUUCGUUCCGUGAGGAGUGCCCUUAAGUGGGACAACGAACGCAACCCCCAUCGUAUGUUAUAUCUGUCAUACGAAACUGCCUUGCCGUUGGCGAGGAGGAAGGAGGGGCAGACGUCAAGUCUGCAUGGUCCUUAUGCCCAGGGCUACACACAUGUUACAAUGAGAAGGAACAAUGAGCAUUGCGAACUCGCGAGGGUAAGCAAAUCCCAGAAAUCUUCUCUCAGUGGGGAUUGGAGUCUGCAAUUCGACUCCAUGAACGCGGAAUUGGUAGUAAUCGCGGGUCAGCUAUACCGCGGUGAUACGUUCUUGCCUCUUGCACACACCGCCCGUCAAGCCAACAAAGUCGGGG
rnacentral:rRNA from 1 species